rnacentral:rRNA from 1 species
CCUACGGGUGGCAGCAGUGGGGAAUAUUGCACAAUGGGGGAAACCCUGAUGCAGCGACGCCGCGUGAGCGAUGAAGUAUUUCGGUAUGUAAAGCUCUAUCAGCAGGGGAGAAAAUGACGGUACGUGACGAAGAAUCCCCGUCUAACUACGUGCAAGCAGCCGCGGUAAUACGUAGGGGGCAAGCGUUAUCCGGAUUUACUGGGUGUAAAGGGAGCGUAGACGGUCCUGCAAGCCAGAUGUGAAAGCCCGGGGCUCAACCACGGAACUGCGGUUGAAACUGGAAGACUAGAGUGUCGGAGAGGCAGGCGGAAUGCGUAGUGUAGCGGUGAAAUGCGUAGAUAUUAGGAGGAACACCAGUGGCGAAGGCGGCCUGCUGGGCGAUGACUGACGUUGAGGCUCGAAAGCGUGGGGAGCAAACAGGAUUAGAUACCCUUGUAGUC